rnacentral:misc_RNA from 1 species
GAUGAAGAACGUAGCGAAAUGCGAUACGUAAUGUGAAUUGCAGAAUUCAGUGAAUCAUCGAGUCUUUGAACGCACAUUGCGCCCUCUGGUAUUCCGGAGGGCAUGCCUGUCCGAGCGUCAUUGCUGCCCUCAAGCACGGCUUGUGUGUUGGGCCCCGCCCCCCGAUCCCGGGGGGCGGGCCCGAAAGGCAGCGGCGGCACCGCGUCCGGUCCUCGAGCGUAUGGGGCUUUGUCACCCGCUCUGUAGGCCCGGCCGGCGCUUGCCGAUCAACCAAACUUUUUUCCAGGUUGACCUCGGAUCAGGUAGGGAUACCCGCUGAACUUAAGCAUAUCAAUAGCGGAGGA